AUUGAACUGAAGAGUUUGAUCAUGGCUCAGAUUGAACGCUGGCGGCAGGCCUAACACAUGCAAGUCGGGCGGUAGCACAGAGAAGCUUGCUUCUUGGGUGACGAGCGGCGGACGGGUGAGUAACGCGUAGGAAUCUACCUGGUAGUGGGGGAUAGCCCGGGGAAACCCGGAUUAAUAC
rnacentral:rRNA from 1 species